rnacentral:rRNA from 1 species
CUAACGGGACUGCCCGCGAAAGCGGGAGGAAGGAGGGGACGACGUCUGGUCAGCAUGGCCCUUACGGCCUGGGCGACACACGUGCUACAAUGCCCACUACAAAGCGAUGCCACCCGGCAACGGGGAGCUAAUCGCAAAAAGGUGGGCCCAGUUCGGAUUGGGGUCUGCAACCCGACCCCCAUGAAGCCGGAAUCGCUAGUAAUCGCGGAUCAGCCAUGCCGCGGUGAAUACGUUCCCGGGCCUU